CCGCUGGCCGCCGGGAACUGAAGUCAUAAGCUGGGAGAAAGCCUGGCCUCGGAAGCCUACAUAUCACAGAAGACACCGCGCUACCGAUUCUGGCAGUUUGGAUUGGCUAAUUUGGAAUCGGGGGCGGGGCCUCGCCCCUACCCACACCGAAUGGGUUAAAUAGGUUUUGGUGUGGUACCUCAAGGUUGUGGAGGAAGUUUAACUUAUAUUAACGUAGUUAGGCCUGUGGAUGCUUCAUCAGGCCAGGUUCUGGAAUCGCUGAAAUCCAAAGAAGGUUUCUUUUUGUUACGUGCCUCGCUCCUGUUUCCCAGCCGAUCGUGGGAUGAGGAAACUGAAGGGUAAAAAAAGAAUGUUAAAUGUCUUGCUCAAGAUCACACAGUAAAUGACAGCUGCCUCUUGAACCCAGGGACUUCCCUGGUGCGAAGUGGUUAAGAAUCUGCCUGCCAGUGCAGGGGACACGGGUUCAAGCUCUGGUCCGGGAAGAUCCCACAUGCCACGGAGCAGCUAAGCCUGUGCACCACAACUACUGAGCCUGCGCUCUAGAGCCCACGAGCCACAACUACUGAAGCCCGCGUGCCUAGAGCCCGUGCUCCGCAACAAAAGAAGACACCGCAAUGAGAAGCCCGCACACCACAACGAAAAGUAGACCCUGCUCGCUGCAACUAGAGAAAGCCCGCGCGCAGCAACGAAGACCCAAUGCAGCCAAAAAUCAAUAAAUUAAAAAAAAUAUAAACAAAACUGAAGCUGCUACAAAAUUAUAUUACCAAGGGCAGAUCAGUUAGUUUCUCAAAGACUUAUUUUCCCAAGCUGGUAAGCUUCUAAUGAGUUAAUCUAUAAGCAGCUAAUGAACUAUAUUAUGGAGUUGCCCAAGACCCAAUUUUACCCAAGUUACAAUAUUAAAUGAAGUGUAGCAAAUUCGAAACCUUAUGAUUUUGGAGCACAUAUUGGUUUUCUAUUGCUGCUAUAAAAAAUUGCCACAAACAGUAGCUUAAAGCAACACAAAUUUAUUGUCUGAGAGUUCUGAAGGUUAGAAGUCUAAAGUCAUCUGCAGGACAGAGUUUCUUACAGAGGCUGUAGGGGAGAAUCCAUUUCCUUGACUUUCCCAGCUUCUCUGUGCUGCCUGUAUUCAUUGACUCAUGGCCCCGUGUCGCUGUGACCUUUGCUUCCAUGGUCACAUCUCUCUCUCGGAUACUCCUGUCUCUCUCUUAUAAAGACCCUUGUGAAUACAUUGGGCCCACAAGAUAAUAUUUCCAGCUCAAGAUUCUUAAUUGAAUCAUAGUAGCAAAGUCCCUUUUGGCAUGAAAAGUAAUAUAUUUACAGGUUUCAGGGACUAGGAUUUGGCUAUCUUUUAUUCUAUCUACCACAAAGCAUGUAUCUAAAUUUGAGUCUGUGCUUCUCCAGUUAAGAAUUUGAAAUUACUUAAUUCAUGAGCAUCAUCUUCUAAUCUGUAAAAUGAGGGAAAGAAUAAUUUCCAUAUAGGGUGGUGAUGAGGAUAAUAAACUACAUGAAAUGUCUACAGUUCAAUGUCAGGCACUUAAAAAACAGAACAGUAACUGGCACAUAGGGAAUAUUUAGAAGUUAGCAAUCAUAAUAUUACUGAGGCAAAUAAUUUGCAUUGUUAUUAUGUAUAUCUGUUUUUUGGAACCUACUUGAGACUGAGGGGUGAGGGAAGCUAAUGUUUCUUUAACUUAUC